AUGGAAUGGAAGCUUAUUAAAGAACCCACUCAAGCUGCCAAAGUUUCAAAAGAGAAUCUGCUAAGGGAAUAUGCAACUAGGAAACCACUUAGAAUGAAGAUGGAUGUAAGGGACUCUGAAGAGGAGAGGGAACGGCAACUUCUCUUAUUCUAUAAACAGCAGCAAGAAUGGGCAUGUCCACUUCAUUGUACUCUGGUUGGUAAGUAAUAUAAAGUUUAUAAUAUAGAUACAUCAGUACAGUUUAUACCACUCAAGUAGCUUAUAUGGAACUAUUAAAUGGGAGAAUGGAAGGCACAAAAUUAUAUAAUUGAUGAAAAUAUGUAUGUAUGUGAAUAUUGUGCACAAUAUACUCUUGUUAUCUGGAAGAAGCAAUAUUAAGGAUGCCAUUCUAGAAUACCAGCCAAUAGAAUUUUGACUAUUUUUCUCCCUUGCUUGUUAAAUGUUGGAUCUUCCGGCAGUCACCAAAACAAAUAGGACAUGGCUACAUAACAAACUUCUACUUCAUGCAGUGAGUUCCUGCUGGUUAAGUGACAGAAUUAAUUGCUGUACUUGUUGAAAUUAUAGAAUGUGUUGUGAACCCUGGCUUGUUAUGUUAACACGAGAGUUUAAGUUUAAGUACUAGAGUUUUAAUGGAUUUUAUGAAGCACUUUAUUGUGCUUUUAUGAACAUUUUCCCUACUGUGCCAACUUUUGUCAAAUUUGGGUUAAGGAUUUGGGCUGUAAUAUGGGUCGGUCUGUCUCUUAGGUCAUUGGGAGGAUCAUGCGCCAAAUUAAACAGUUGAGAAAGGGACUGAAAGAUGUGAUGGUGUGGCCCCUGCUGACAUCUAGGCCCGAUGUUGUCCCACUUCUCCCCAGAAUGGCUGAAAUGCAGUUCACACCCCAGGUAAGUGAGUCAUUUUGUUAUAUUUGUGACUUAACUGGAUGAAUUUACGUGUAUUUUCAAUGACAGAGCUGGUCAUUUUUCCAUUUUCCAAGAAUGUGAGCUGCAUAUUCCUUAACCAAAAUAAGUUCUCCCUUUAAAAUAAUUAAAAUUGUUGUUUUCUUUAAGAUGCUCCUAGAAAAAAAUCACAUGGCCAGUUGAGGACAGUGAUGAUGAAGACUUUGACUUAGACUCCACCUGCCACAUCACUGGCUUUCUAAGGAUGUUCAUUGAAACAGGUAUAAACACCUUAUUUGCUCUCUUUACAAAUGCUUCUAUGUCUCAUGGAUAGAUAUGAUCCAUUAAAGUUGAACUACAUGUCUUUAAUCCAUUUUAUGACUUUUAGCUUCAUCAGGUACCCUGGCCAAGCUGCUGACAUUCUGGGUUGGCUGGGAGAUGCUUCCUCCUGAACUGAGAGUGGAGAUUUCUGGGGGAACCCUUCCUACAUUCUCCACAUGCUUUGAAACACUGAAGCUGCCAGCUCAUUUAAAAAUCUAUAUGGACUUUGAGAAAGCACUUGUCGCAGCCAUAAAAUGUAUUGGAUUUGGGCUUGUUUAAGCUUUUUCAGACAGAUGUCAAUGCAUAUACUGUUAAGAGGAAUUGACACAAGUUCAGUGUCUUUGAAAACAUUAACACACUGUGCAGUAGUUGACAAUUUUUUUAUUCUACAUAUUUUUUCCAUUUACUGAAAUCAAACAGUUCUGCACCUUCAGUGCUAACAGUACAGCAUUCAUGUUAGUCAUUCUGUGGACCAUAAUGAGACAGGAAGCUUCAGAAGCUUUUUUCUUCUUUUUUUUUUAAGGAAAGUAAACUUUUUCAGUUUGUCCUUGCUUGUUCUAACACAACAAAUAAAAAACAUGGGUUGGACAUCAGUCUGCUAAGAUUCUUGAUAACACUUCCACAGUCUCUACAUAUAGUCUAAGUGCAUCAGUAACAGAAACUCCUGGAGCUGGCAAAACUGCAACCUCUUCAUCUGAGAGCUCACGGACCAGCUGAACCUCGGGGACUGACACAGUCCCUCUAUGAAGGCCGUGAGGUCCGUUACAGUCAAUCCCAUACACCUCAGGAACCUGAAUGGAUGACAAGCAUAAUCAAUCUUGUACUUAAAACUAGUUUGACAUGUCAUUACACAAGAUUGCUAUUUCUGGUCACCAAGUCGGUGAGAAAUGAAAUGUUAGUUAUUAAAUUCAGUUUUGUAAAAUAAUACAGCUGUGCAUAAUACAACUGUAGAAACUACAGCUCACAGGUUGAUCUUUGAAAGCUCGAGAGAUUUUAAAGAGACAAUAGUCUAUAAUAAAUGUUUCAUUUAAAGUACCACAUUUAGCGCAAUAUUUUCUCCCAUAAUUCCUUUGGGG
rnacentral:lncRNA from 1 species